UACGGAGGGGGCUAGCGUUGUUCGGAAUUACUGGGCGUAAAGCGCACGUAGGCGGCUUUGUAAGUUAGAGGUGAAAGACCGGGGCUCAACUCCGGAAUUGCCUUUAAGACUGCAUCGCUAGAAUUGUGGAGAGGUAAGUGGAAUUCCGAGUGUAGAGGUGAAAUUCGUAGAUAUCAGGAGGAACACCGGUGGCGAAGGCGGCUUCCUGGACACUUACUGACGCUGAGACGCGAAAGCGUGGGGAGCAAACAGG
rnacentral:rRNA from 1 species